rnacentral:rRNA from 1 species
UGGGGAAUAUUGGACAAUGGGCGCAAGCCUGAUCCAGCCAUGCCGCGUGUGUGAAGAAGGCCUUUUGGUUGUAAAGCACUUUAAGCGAGGAGGAGGCUACUUGGAUUAAUACUCUAGGAUAGUGGACGUUACUCGCAGAAUAAGCACCGGCUAACUCUGUGCCAGCAGCCGCGGUAAUACAGAGGGUGCGAGCGUUAAUCGCAUUUACUGGGCGUAAAGCGUGCGUAGGCGGCUUCUUAAGUCGGAUGUGAAAUCCCUGAGCUUAACUUGGGAAUUGCAUUCGAUACUGGGAAGCUAGAGUAUGGGAGAGGAUGGUAGAAUUCCAGGUGUAGCGGUGAAAUGCGUAGAGAUCUGGAGGAAUACCGAUGGCGAAGGCAGCCAUCUGGCCUUAUACUGACGCUGAGGUACGAAAGCAUGGGGAGCAAACAGG